AUUGAACGCUGGCGGCAGGCUUAACACAUGCAAGUCGAGCGAGCGGCGGACGGGUGAGUAAUGUCUGGGAAACUGCCUGAUGGAGGGGGAUAACUACUGGAAACGGUAGCUAAUACCGCAUACCAUCCGAGGGGCCCAGAUGGGAUUAGCUAGUAGGUGGGGUAAUGGCCAACCUAGCCGACGAUCCCUAGCUGGUCUGAGAGGAUGACCUGCUACACUGGAACUGAGACACGGUCCAGACUCCUACGGGAGGCAGCAGUGGGGAAUAUGGCACAAUGGGGGCAAGCCUGAUGCAGCCAUGCCGCGUGUGUGAAGAAGGCCUUCGGGUUGUAAAGCACUUGAAGCGAGGAGGCGUUACUCGCAGAAGAAGCACCGGCUAACUCCGUGCCAGCAGCCGCGGUAAUUC
rnacentral:rRNA from 1 species